UCGAUCCCGUCUGGCUCCACCAUCCGGUGGCCGACGGCUCAGCGAUAUAAGGAAUACGGUUUGCGCCGGCGGAUCUGUCCGCGGGUUGCAUUGAAAUUGUGAAGGGAAGGUUCGACCGGGCAGUCAUGCUUUAGAGGUCGAGCUCGAGAAGACAUUGUCUGGCAAAAUAUCAAAGUCCAUGCGUGGGCGCUCCGGCACUUCUUUCCAGUCGGAGAGGCCACAAGCGCAUGGGUUUUGCUGAGAACGAUCAAACGCAAAAGGGCUUCUGACGGAUGCCUUGGCGUAGAGAGGCGAUGAAGGACGUGGCACGCUGCGAUAAGAACCGGGGAGGCGCGAGCACCCUUUGAUCCGGUUAUUUCCGAAUGGGGAAACCCACCUUUACGGUCUUCCAACUUGUUUCUGGCUUCGGCCAGGGACAGCCUUGGUGGAUCGUUGAAAGGUAUGAUGAACUGAAUACAUAGGUUCAUUAAGCGAACCCGGGGAACUGAAACAUCUCAGUA
rnacentral:rRNA from 1 species